UCCGAGAUGGUCUAACGGUCAUGAUUUCCGCUUGUCACUGUUCAGCACAGAACAACAAGCGCGGGAGACCGGGGUUCGACUCCCCGUCUCGGAG